rnacentral:rRNA from 1 species
UAAGUCUCAGUUCGGAUUGAAGGCUGAAAUUCGCCUUCAUGAAGCCGGAAUUGCUAGUAAUGGCAGGUCAGCAUACUGCCGUGAAUACGUUCCCGGGCCUUGUACACACCGCCCGUCACACCAUGAGAGUCGGGAACACCCGAAGUCCGUAGUCUAACCGCAAGGAGGGCGCGGCCGAAGGUGGGCUUGAUAAUUGGGGUGAAGUCGUAACAAGGUACC